GACGAACGCUGGCGGCGUGCUUAACACAUGCAAGUCGAACGGAAAGGCCCUGCUUGCAGAGUACUCGAGUGGCGAACGGGUGAGUAACACGUGGGUGAUCUGCCCUGCACUUCGGGAUAAGCCUGGGAAACUGGGUCUAAUACCGGAUAGGAGACAUUUUUAGUGGGAUGGUUGGAAAGUUUUUUCGGUGUAGGAUGAGCUGGCGGCCUAUCAGCUUGUUGGUGGGGUAAUGGCCUACCAAGGCGGCGACGGGUAGCCGGCCUGAGAGGGUGGACGGCCACCUUGGGACUGAGAGAGGGCGCAGUCGCGUACGGGAGGCAGUGGUGGGGAGUAUUGCACAAUGAGGGCGAGCCUGAGGAGGCGAGGCCGCGGGGGGGAUGACGGCCUUUGGGUUGUAAACGAGUUUCGGUAGGGACGAAGCAUUUUGUGACGGUACCUAGAUAAGAAGCACCGGCUAACUACGUG
rnacentral:rRNA from 1 species